UUACAGCGGCGCACCUUCCACCAUUUUAUACUUACGAACUUUGCUAUUAGUGACACUUUGGGAUAUGUGCCAAAGGCCAAAAAGGCAACGCCAAGACACAAAAGACAGACUCUUACACACACAUACCCAUAUGUAUAUAGCAAAUGUGAAAAGUUGAAAUGUUAGAAUGAGUUGAAGGAAUUUUAUAGACAAUUUUUGAACAUCUUCGAUUAAAACCGAAUUGGAAAAUUCCAUCAGGUACAUGAGAAAAAUCUCAAAAUUAGCUGCAAAAGAAAAAAAGAAAAAAAGGAAAGAAUGUGACAACAACAAUUUUCAAGGUAUGCCAUUUUUUGCGUUGCGCAGUGAGGCUGAACGCGCAGCAAUAUACCAAGCAAGCAGAGCGGAAAGCACAACGUUGUGUGUGGAAUGCGAAAUUUUGCUAUGACAAUAUCGAUUUGAUUUUUGUGGAAAGUUUUACGCAUGAAAAAGUGAAAUUCGUGUAAAUUUUGUUUCAAAACAGCUUGGAUUUCUACUUCAUUGGCUCGAAAAGUAAUAAAGAAUUACUUUUUAUGCACGGCAGUAAUAUACACUGCUAAUUGGCCGUCUGUUUUGACAGUCAAAAGACGAGCGAAUAGAGUGGAGAGAAGUAAAAACGAAGGCAAUGCAAGAAAUUCCAAGAAGCGCACACUUGCAGCCUACAAGCGAAUUUUGGUUACGUA